GACGAACCGUGCGAACGUUAUUCGGAAUCACUGGGCUUAAAGCGCGUGUAGGCGGAUGGGAACGUCGGUAGUUGAAAGCCCCCGGCUCAACCGGGGAAGUGGUGCCGAAACGACCCGUCUGGAGGGACGUAGGGGGACCUGGAACUUCCGGUGGAGCGGUGAAAUGCGUUGAGAUCGGAAGGAACGCCCGUGGCGAAAGCGAGGUCCUGGACGUCUACUGACGCUGAGGCGCGAAAGCUAGGGGAGCAAACGGG
rnacentral:rRNA from 1 species